GGUAGAAAUAACCAAAGAAGAGGCUAACGAAUCUUAAUGAUGCCUUGUCCAAAACAGAAACGGGAUGCUAAUGGAACACGAGGCUGUACUAUGGCGAUUCAGCAUUGCUUGGGGGAGUAACUUGCUACAGUCAUCGUUUCACUCAUCACUUCAGAUAUGUUUUGCAGCUGUUCUUAAAAGAGACAUGCAGUGAUCCGUGACCCAGCUCUGACUUGACCACAGAACUGUCUGCACAUGUAAGGCCUGGAGGUGUCUGCAAGUUACUUCUGCUGACUACCAUGCUAGGAUCUCCCAAGGUGGGAUUUUGUAUUCUUUUAGGCACAAUCCGCGCUGUGUGCAAAGAAGCCUGGAAGACUGUGCGUGCCCCAGCUGCCCCAGGCUGCCCCUGAAAAUCUCUGUCCCUUUGCUUAAGCCCUGCCUCCUACACCUUGAAAAUUCCCUUUCUCCCCUCCCUUUGGGAACAAGGUGUUUUUAGGGCAGAGCUCUCCCUUCUCCCAUCCUAGUUCAAUGAUUACGUUUCUGCUCUGCCAUAUGGAGCCCGGUUUUGUUUGAUUGGCAUUUGCAACUUCCGGCAAAGGACCCACUGAGGGAUCACAUCCCUUUGCUCUUGGUUGUUCCGUCGCCAAGUCGGGUCUGACUCUUCGCAACCCCA